CCUCCUGUAGCUCAAUUUGGUCAGAGGCGCACGACUUAUAAUCGUGUGAUCCAGGUUCAAAUCCUGGCGGGAGGACCA
rnacentral:tRNA from 1 species